GGGGAUGUAGCUCAGUGGCAGAGCACUUGCCUAACAUGCAGGAAGCCCUGGAUUCAAUCCCU
rnacentral:tRNA from 1 species